CCUACGGGUGGCAGCAGUGAGGAAUAUUGGUCAAUGGACGAGAGUCUGAACCAGCCAAGUAGCGUGAAGGAUGACUGCCCUAUGGGUUGUAAACUUCUUUUAUAAAGGAAUAAAACGAGGCACGUGUGCCUUUUUGUAUGUACUUUAUGAAUAAGGAUCGGCUAACUCCGUGCCAGCAGCCGCGGUAAUACGGAGGAUCCGAGCAUUAUCCGGAUUUAUUGGGUUUAAAGGGAGCGUAGAUGGGUUGUUAAGUCAGUUGUGAAAGUUUGCGGCUCAACCGUAAAAUUGCAAUUGAUACUGGCAGUCUUGAGUACAGUUGAGGUAGGCGGAAUUCGUGGUGUAGCGGUGAAAUGCUUAGAUAUCACGAAGAACCCCGAUUGCGAAGGCAGCUUACUAAACUGUGACUGACAUUGAUGCUCGAAAGUGUGGGUAUCAAACAGGAUUAGAUACCCUAGUAGUC
rnacentral:rRNA from 1 species